CACGUAGGCACCAAGCGUUGUCCGGAUUUAUUGGGCGUAAAGAGCUCGUAGGCGGUUCAGUAAGUCAGGUGUGAAAUCUUUGGGCUUAACCCAAAGCGUGCACUUGAUACUGCUGUGACUUGAGUUCGGUAGGGGAGUGGGGAAUUCCUAGUGUAGCGGUGAAAUGCGCAGAUAUUAGGAGGAACACCGGUGGCGAAGGCGCCACUCUGGGCCGGAACUGACGCUGAGGAGCGAAAGCGUGGGGAGCGAACAGG
rnacentral:rRNA from 1 species